CAUCGCCCCUUGUAACCAAAACAAAUAAGGGGUNCUGCCUGCCCGGUGACUAAAAUUUAACGGCCGCGGUAUCUUGACCGUGCAAAGGUAGCAUAAUAAUUUGCUCUUUAAUUGAGGGCUAGUAUGAAAGGCAAGACGAAAGCUUAACUGUCUCCCUUUUAAAAAAGAAAUUUAUAUCUUAGUGAAGAAGCUAAGAUAAAUCUGCAAGACGAGAAGACCCUGUCGAGCUUAAGAAAAUUUUUAUAAAAAAUAAAAAGCUAAUUUUAUCCAUAAUUAUACUCUUACUAAAACAAAUAAAAAUAUCUUUGGUUGGGGCAACCACGAAGAAAAAAAAACCUUCGAUUUUUAUAAAAAAUAAACAAAUUUAAAAGCUCAAUUUAAAGCUUAAAAGAUCCGGUAAAUAUUCAACCGAUCAAAGAAAAAAGUUACCGCAGGGAUAACAGCGUUAUUCUCUUUAAGAGCCCAUAUUGACAAGAGAGUUUGCGACCUCGAUGUUGGACCGAGGCACCCAAGAGAUGCAGAAGUCUCUAAAGGUAGGUCUGUUCGACCUUUAAAGCCCUACGUGA
rnacentral:rRNA from 1 species